GUUGGGAGCCGCAGCCCCGAGCCCGGUCGCCUCACUUGGCGGACGUGAGGCCUGUAGUAAAGAGUGAGGCCUGAGGUAGAUUACCCCUCCCAUCGAAUAUGUUAGUUUCCUGCUUACCGCGUAAACAACCCGCUCAACAAUAUAGUCUGCCUGGCAACUGAUGAUGUUAGCCAAUCAGCUUGCCUUGCUUACUUUAACAUGAUUGGACACUGUACCCGUAUAUAUACCGGUGCCACCCCUGGGCGGAAGUAGAAGCCAGAUAGAAGCCCGGAAGUAGAAGCCCAAAAGGAGCCGCGGAGAGCGGACCGGUAGAGGCUUUGGGGCAGGCUGAAGCACAAAAGGAGCCGCGGGGAGCGGACCAAAGGAGGCUUCAGCUGGGAGAACCCAGGGCAGGCUGUACGGAGAAGAAAAAUAAAAAGAAAAGGUUGUCCACUACCAGACUGUGUCGUGUGUCCUUCCUGCCGGCCGGGAGCGGACAUCGACACUUUUCGAGAUCCACUCAUGAAGAUGGAUCCAUUUCCUCAUCAAGGGUUUGGAUCGUUCCUCUCCAGCUGGUUCAGUAAUCUGUUGAAUAAAAAUGUUGUUCAGCAAUGAAAAAGGCAUGAUCUGAACAGCUUUGCCCUUCCUGUGCUAUAUACCUUCUCCUUGCAGCUGAGACCUAAGAGCAAUGGAUCUGUUCUGCAUGAAUCAGAAGCUGC